rnacentral:lncRNA from 1 species
GUCCGGCCAUGGCUGCGGCUGCCUCCUCCACAUCCAGGACCAUUUGCUCUUUCUCUUUCAGCAGCAGCAGCUUCAGCAGCUCUCCCAGCACGCAUCCCCCCUCCCGCUGGCUCCCCACCCCUCCAGCAUGCAGCCCCCCAGCCUGAGCGGGGCCUCGGGGCUCCUGGCCCUCUCCGGGGCGCUGAUGGCACAGGCUCAGCUGGCCACCAAGGAGGACAGAGUGGCCCAGGAUGGGGAGAACACAGAGCACACCCCAAGCCGGAGCGUUUCUUCUUCCCCCGCCGAGAGCCUGCAGGACGAGGAGCGCACAGGGCUGAAGAGGAAGAGGGAGGAGAAGGAGCUGCCUGGGCAUUCUGACAGUGAUGGGGACAAGAGUGACUACAACCUGGUGGUGGAUGAGGACCCGCCGUCGGAGCCCGGCAGCCCCGGACGCUCGCCCCGGUCGGCUCGGUGCCGCCGGGAGCUGCCCGGGAGCCCCGCGUGCGGCGGCUGCGGCCAGCCCGAGGAGCAGAGCCCGGUGAGGAGCCCCUGGGGUGCCAUGUGGGGCCAGCAGCACGGCCAUGAGUUUCUCUGCGUGGCCAGUCUGAAAUGGCCACGUAUGGCCAGAGAGAAAUGCCGGGGGUUUGUUUUCAGGAGACGCACGCUCUCGGGCUUUGUCCAGCUCCCUGAGGGACAGACAGGGCCCAGGAUGUCCAGCCCAGCCAGGCUGCACCCAGCCCUCACCUCCAGCCUCGUGCAGGAACGGGGCAGGAGAAUGGGGCUGGGGCCUUGGUUUGGCCACUGGCACUCCCCACCCUGGGGACACAGAUCCGUGCCCUCGGGGUAGGACGGACUCGGUGGCCAGCGCUCCCGGCUCCAAGCCCUCCUCUUCCUCACCAGCCCGUGACUCCCUCACGCCUGGCCCCGGGCCCAGCUCGGCCGUGCCGCUCCGGCCACCCCCGGCCAAAGCCCCCGGCACCGACACCGUCAGUGAGUGUCCAGGGCCAGCCCCGGGGCUGCUCUGCUGUGACAGCACCGUGGGGAUGGAGGGAGGGGGGCAGGACCCUGUCUGCCACCAGCUGAGCUGGCAGAGCCAUUUUGCCCCACAAGAUCAGAGCUACGAACCUCCAACAGGAGCCCCUCUGCCCUUGCCACACAGCUGGUGGGCUAGGACCUGCCGAGUGGGGCAGAGCGGGGUUUAAUCUGUUUUUCGCUGAUGAAUUGCCAUUUGUGUGGGGCUGCACGAAGCUCGGCGCUUCAGGGCUUGGCUGUGGGGGCCGGAGGGGGUGGCUGUGCAGUCACCAGGUGCCCCUCUCCCCUGGGUGCUGCCAGGGCCAAGACGCGGGUCUCUCCUCGUGCAGCUCUCCGCAGCCCCCUGAGCUCCUCCAGCCCCUACACGUCCUCCCUGGGCAUGGUGGCCCCCGGCCUCUACGUGGGCAUCCAGCUCUCGGUGCCCCAGGCCGGCAGCGCGCUGCUCUACGGCCGCUCCCCCGUGGUAAGUCGCCGUGGGGAGGCCGGGUGUGCCAGCUCUGCUG